rfam:Ictidomys tridecemlineatus contig007878, whole genome shotgun sequence.
GGUGUUGUGGCUCAGUGGUAGAGCGCUCACCUAAUAUGUGCGAGGGCCUGGGUUCAAUCCUCAGCACCACAU